GCCUGGAUAGCUCAGCUGGUUAGAGCGUGGUGCUGAUAACGCCAAGGCUGCAGGUUCAAUCCCCGUAUGGGACA
rnacentral:tRNA from 1 species